rnacentral:rRNA from 1 species
UCGAGGGGCAGCGGGGGCGUAGCAAUAUGCCUGCCGGCGACCGGCGCACGGGUGAGUAACACGUAUGUAACCUGCCCUAUGCAGGGGGAUAACUCGGAGAAAUCCGGCCUAAUACCGCGUAACACCUUUUGGGAGCAUUCCCGGGAGGUUAAAGGAGAGAUCCGGCAUAGGAUGGACAUGCGUCGCAUUAGGUAGACGGCGGGGUAACGGCCCACCGUGCCGACGAUGCGUAGGGGUUCUGAGAGGAAGGCCCCCCACACUGGUACUGAGACACGGACCAGACUCCUACGGGAGGCAGCAGUGAGGAAUAUUGGUCAAUGGCCGAGAGGCUGAACCAGCCAAGUCGCGUGAGGGAAGAAUGUCCUAAGGAUUGUAAACCUCUUUUGUCGGGGAGCAAAAAGGCUCUGCGGAGUCGUAUUGAGAGUACCCGAAGAAAAAGCAUCGGCUAACUCCGUGCCAGCAGCCGCGGUAAUACGGAGGAUGCGAGCGUUAUCCGGAUUUAUUGGGUUUAAAGGGUGCGCAGGCGGCGUGUCAAGCAAGCGGUAAAAUAGCGGGGCUCAACCCCGUCGAGCCGUUUGAACUGGCGCGCUUGAGUUCAGGCGAGGUAGGCGGAAUUCGUGGUGUAGCGGUGAAAUGCAUAGAUAUCACGAAGAACUCCGAUUGCGAAGGCAGCUUACCAGUCUGCGACUGACGCUCAGGCACGAAAGUGUGGGUAUCGAACAGGAUUAGAUACCCUGGUAGUCCACACAGUAAACGAUGAGCGCUAGGUGUCCGGGUCGCAUGAGACUUGGGUGCCCGAGCGAAAGCGUUAAGCGCU